GGCAACAGGCAGAACCUCGAACUGCUCCUGGAAAUGUCUUUUAACUGCCUGGAGGAUGUGGAAAGCACCAUUCCAGUCAGCCCUUUGCACUUAGCUGCCUAUAAUGGUCACUGUGAAGCCCUAAAGACACUUGCCGAAACCCUCGUGAACCUCGACGUGCGGGACCACAAGGGACGGACGGCACUGUACCUCGCCACGGAGAGAGGUUCCACGGAGUGCGUGGAAGUGCUCACCAGCCACGGUGCGUCCGCUCUGGUGAAGGAGAGGAAGAGGAAGUGGACCCCUCUUCAUGCUGCAG